GUAGGUGGCUUGUAAAGUGAAUAGUGAAACCUGGUGGCUCAACCAUACAGACUAUUAUUCAAACUCACAAGCUCGAGAGUAGCAGAGGUAACNUGGAAUUUCUUGUGUAGGAGUGAAAUCCGUAGAUAUAAGAAGGAACACCAAUGGCGUAGGCAGGUUACUGGGCUAUUUCUGACACUGAGGCACGAAAGCGUGGGGAGCGAACCGGAUUAGAUACCCGGGUAGUCCACGCCGUAAACGAUGGAUACUAGCUGUUGGAGGUAUCGACCCCUUCAGUAGCGAAGCUAACGCGUUAAGUAUCCCGCCUGUGGAGUACGGUCGCAAGACUAAAACAUAAAGGAAUUGACGGGGACCCGCACAAGCGGUGGAUCGUGUUCUUUAAUUCGAUGAUAAACGAAGAACCUUACCAGGGUUUGACAUCCUUGGAAUUUCUGUGAAAGCAGAGAGUGCUUUAUUGAGCCAAGUGACAGGUGAUGCAUGGCCGUCGUCAGCUCGUGUCGUGAGAUGUUUGGUUAAGUCCAUCAACGAGCGCAACCCUUGUGAAUAGUUGUAUUUUUCUAUUCAGACUGCCCCGGUAACGGGGAGGAAGGAGGGGAUGAUGUCAGGUCAGUAUUUCCCUUACACCCUGGGCUAGAAACACGAUACAAUGGUUAGUACAAUGCGCAGCGAAGCCGCGAGGUGGAGCAAAU
rnacentral:rRNA from 1 species